AUUGAACGCUGGCGGCAUGCUUUACACAUGCAAGUCGAACGGUAACAGGCCUUCGGGUGCUGACGAGUGGCGAACGGGUGAGUAAUGCAUCGGAACGUACCCAGAGGUGGGGGAUAACGCAGCGAAAGCUGUGUUAAUACCGCAUGUGAUCUGAGGAUGAAAGCGGGGGACCGAGCAGCAAUGUUUGGCCUCGCGCCUUUGGAGCGGCCGAUGUCGGAUUAGCUAGUUGGUGGGGUAAAGGCCUACCAAGGCGACGAUCCGUAGCUGGUCUGAGAGGACGACCAGCCACACUGGGACUGAGACACGGCCCAGACUCCUACGGGAGGCAGCAGUGGGGAAUUUUGGACAAUGGGCGCAAGCCUGAUCCAGCAAUGCCGCGUGCGGGAAGAAGGCCUUCGGGUUGUAAACCGCUUUUGGCAGGAACGAAACGGUGUCCGCUAAUACCGGGCGCUAAUGACGGUACCUGCAGAAUAAGCACCGGCUAACUACGUG
rnacentral:rRNA from 1 species